rnacentral:misc_RNA from 1 species
GUAGGUGAACCUGCGGAAGGAUCAUUAUAAAACAACCCACGGGGGUGGGCUUUCCGAAAGGACAGUCACGGGCGCCUCACGCGGCGUACCCUGGUUGGCGGCGGCGGUGCCUGUCCUGUUGUGGAGGGAGUACCCCUCUACAACACGCGCUUGCGCCGUGCGCCGAUCGAGCCCUCCACCUGAAUAUUACCCUUGCUUUUUGCGCACCCAUUGUUUCCUCGGCAGGCUUGCCUGCCAGUAGGACCCCUUU